AGGCUUUUUUUUUGGAGGGAAAUGUCUUACCCUUUUUAUUUUGGUAAGACAUUUUCCAUCAGAACUUGCUAAAUGCUCUCUCCUUCUCCUUCUCCUUCCCCUUCCCUUCAUUGCGUCCCCGACCCAGGAUUCAUCUCUGUAGAAAAAACAACCAGCAGUAGUUUUGUUGACAAAAAGAAAAAAGCCCUAGCCAUUUCUAGUCUUUUCAGAAAUGAAACUCUCAACAAUUAAGUGAUUUUUUCUCUUCAAUUUUUUUCGUCUACUUCCCUUCAGCGAUUUGCCACUUCAAGUGAAAUCAGUCGAUUCAAGUUCGAAAAUCAAUUGUCAAAAUAGACGGUGAGACAAUUAACUAUGGGAAAUAAUGAGAAAUUUAGAAUCGUUUUGGAAUUAUAUGAUUUGUUUGCUUGCUUCUUAGCAAAAUGUAAUAACAUUUUUGUUUUCAUAUAUUCGUUUUCCCUCUGGUUAUUCCUCAAUAAUAAUUGAAAAGAAACCUUUUUGAAUCGAUGUGAGAUUAAAGUAGGUAGUUUUAAUUAAUUCCUACGCUUCAAUAGAUCUAUUAAGUUGGCAAUUCGGUUUCUUUAUAUAUAUAUUUUUUAAAUGAAUUUUAUUUUUUGUGGAAUUGAUUAGAUGGGAUCCUGAUCAAGUUCAAUUUGUAGUGGAGUUAAUGAUUUUGUGUUUGCAUUGGGCCUUUUGAUGUGUUUGAUUUUAUGGGUAUUUGAUUUUGAACAACUUCUCUUUAUUAGAUUGUCUGUUUUAUACUACAACACUGGAAUGGAUGUUAGCAAAGAUGGGUGAUUUGUGGUCACCCUUAAUUUUGUAAAAUGGAUGAACUGGCUAAUUCUUUGUUUGGUAGGAUUACUUAUUUUUAUCCUCUGCUUUGCAUUUCUUGAUUCAUGAUAAAUAGUGUUGUAUGUGUUACUUGAUUGUAUUUUGUUGAUCUCCCAUGUAUGAGAAAUAAACAUGGAGGAGUUAAUUAUUUAUGUGCUCCUCCAUGCACAAAAAAUAAGGAAGGGGAAACACUUAUGGAAUGCUUUUAAAUCCGUUAGGUCAAAAGAAAAUUCAAGUAGGUUAAAAGGUUAAGAUCAUGGUUUGAUUUAUAAGACAUAUAUUGAUUUCACUUUGAGCUUGAGGUCUCCGGCUUUAUCAGAUUCCAACUCCAAUAUUUGGUCUUCAGUCAGCAAAAUUAGGAAAUGGUUAAAAGGUUAGUCCUGUUGUUUGGUUUUAGAAUGAUCGUGUGUAUGGAAAGAAUGACAUGAAUGGGAUUUCUGGUCACUUUUGCUAUUUGCCUAGGUAUGGAGUGUAUUGAUCUGAAGAGAAUAUCAUGUUGCAGUGCAUAGACGGGUUGAAGCAUUUAUUUGCUUUAGUGCUGCAAUGAUGUGAUAAUGAUUUGUACAAGCAAUCAAGAGGUCUUGUUGAUCCUAAACUUCUUGCAAGAGAGACCGUUUUUAGUGUAAGUGAAAUAGAAGCACUUUAUGAGCUUUUCAAGAAGAUAAGCAAUGUUGUUAUAGAUGAUGGGCUGAUCAACAAGGUUUUGAAAAGUUUGCUCGUGCUCUCUCUAUCUUCCAUCCAAAUGUGCCCAUUGACGAUAAGAAUGAUUUUAGUUAUCUGUAUACUUCUCUUAUUGUAAGUCAUAAUCAUGUUAACAUAGUAGUUGGAUGUAAAUGACUGGUAUGGAAAUGGAAUUAUGGACUUUUGUACAUAGACGAUGUGUCUAAACUAUGUAUUCUUGUGUAAUCUAUUUUCUUAGA